GAUGAACGCUGGCGGCGUGCCUAAUACAUGCAAGUCGAGCGAAUGGAUUAAGAGCUCGCUCUUAUGAAGUUAGCGGCGGACGGGUGAGUAACACGUGGGUAACCUGCCCAUAAGACUGGGAUAACUCCGGGAAACCGGGGCUAAUACCGGAUAACAUUUUGAACCGCAUGGUUCGAAAUUGAAAGGCGGCUUCGGCUGUCACUUAUGGAUGGACCCGCGUCGCAUUAGCUAGUUGGUGCGGUAACGGCUCACCAAGGCAACGAUGCGUAGCCGACCUGGGAGGGGUAUCGGCCACACUGGGACUCGGACACGGCCCAGACUCCUACGGGAGGCAGCAGUAGGGAAUCUUCCGCAAUGGACGAAAGUCUGACGGAGCAACGCCGCGUGAGUGAUGAAGGCUUUCGGGUCGUAAAACUCUGUUGUUAGGGAAGAACAAGUGCUAGUUGAAUAAGCUGGCACCUUGACGGUACCUAACCAGAGAGCCACGGCUAACUACGUGCCAGCAGCCGCCGUAA
rnacentral:rRNA from 1 species